GACGAACGCUGGCGGCGUGCCUAAUACAUGCAAGUCGAGCGCAGGAAACUGACGGAACUCUUCGGAGGGAAGGCAGUGGAAUGAGUGGCGGACGGGUGAGUAACACGUAAGGAACCUGCCUCAAGGAUUGGGAUAACUCCGAGAAAUCGGAGCUAAUACCGGAUAGUUCAUCGGACCGCAUGGUCCGUUGAUGAAAGGCGCUUCGGCGUCACCUUGAGAUGGCCUUGCGGUGCAUCAGCUAGUUGGUGGGGUAACGGCCCACCAAGGCGACGAUGCAUAGCCGACCUGAGAGGGUGAUCGGCCACACUGGGACUGAGACACGGCCCAGACUCCUACGGGAGGCAGCAGUAGGGAAUCUUCCACAAUGGACGAAAGUCUGAUGGAGCAACGCCGCGUGAGUGAUGAAGGUUUUCGGAUCGUAAAACUCUGUUGUAAGGGAAGAACACGUACGAGAGGAAAUGCUCGUACCUUGACGGUACCUUACGAGAAAGCCACGGCUAACUACGUGCCAGCCGCCGCGGUAAGAC
rnacentral:rRNA from 1 species